UACGAAGGGGGCAAGCGUUGUUCGGAUUUACUGGGCGUAAAGGGCGCGCAGGCGGCCGCAUUUGUCAGGCGUGAAAGCCCCGGGCUUAACCUGGGAACUGCGUUUGAUACGGUGUGGCUAGAGUUCGGGAGAGGAGAGUGGAAUUCCCAGUGUAGAGGUGAAAUUCGUAGAUAUCAGGAGGAACACCUGCGGUGUAGACGGCUUACUGGACCAUAACUGACGCUGAGGCACGAAAGCGUGGGUAGCAAACAGG
rnacentral:rRNA from 1 species